rnacentral:rRNA from 1 species
UGGGGAAUAUUGCACAAUGGACGCAAGCCUGAUGCAGCCAUGCCGCGUGUAUGAAGAAGGCCUUCGGGUUGUAAAGUACUUUCAGCGGGGAGGAAGGCGAUAAGGUUAAUAACCUUGUCGAUUGACGUUACCCGCAGAAGAAGCACCGGCUAACUCCGUGCCAGCAGCCGCGGUAAUACGGAGGGGGCAAGCGUUAAUCGGAAUUACUGGGCGUAAAGCGCACGCAGGCGGUCUGUCAAGUCGGAUGUGAAAUCCCCGGGCUCAACCUGGGAACUGCAUUCGAAACUGGCAGGCUAGAGUCUUGUAGAGGGGGGUAGAAUUCCAGGUGUAGCGGUGAAAUGCGUAGAGAUCUGGAGGAAUACCGGUGGCGAAGGCGGCCCCCUGGACAAAGACUGACGCUCAGGUGCGAAAGCGUGGGGAGCAAACA